ACGAACGCUGGCGGCGUGCUUAACACAUGCAAGUCGAACGGAAAGGCCCUGCUUUUGUGGGGUGCUCGAGUGGCGAACGGGUGAGUAACACGUGAGUAACCUGCCCUUGACUUUGGGAUAACUUCAGGAAACUGGGGCUAAUACCGGAUAGGAGCUCCUGCUGCAUGGUGGGGGUUGGAAAGUUUCGGCGGUUGGGGAUGGACUCGCGGCUUAUCAGCUUGUUGGUGGGGUAGUGGCUUACCAAGGCUUUGACGGGUAGCCGGCCUGAGAGGGUGACCGGCCACAUUGGGACUGAGAUACGGCCCAGACUCCUACGGGAGGCAGCAGUGGGGAAUAUUGCACAAUGGGCGGAAGCCUGAUGCAGCAACGCCGCGUGCGGGAUGACGGCCUUCGGGUUGUAAACCGCUUUCGCCUGUGACGAAGCGUGAGUGACGGUAAUGGGCAAAGAAGCACCGGCUAACUACGUG
rnacentral:rRNA from 1 species